AGUGGCGAACGGGUGAGUAACACGUGGGCAAUCUGCCCUGCACUCUGGGACAAGCCCUGGAAACGGGGUCUAAUACCGGAUAACACUGUCCCCCUCCUGGGGGACGGUUGAAAGCUCCGGCGGUGCAGGAUGAGCCCGCGGCCUAUCAGCUUGUUGGUGGGGUAAUGGCCUACCAAGGCGACGACGGGUAGCCGGCCUGAGAGGGCGACCGGCCACACUGGGACUGAGACACGGCCCAGACUCCUACGGGAGGCAGCAGUGGGGAAUAUUGCACAAUGGGCGAAAGCCUGAUGCAGCGACGCCGCGUGAGGGAUGACGGCCUUCGGGUUGUAAACCUCUUUCAGCAGGGAAGAAGCGAAAGUGACGGUACCUGCAGAAGAAGCGCCGGCUAACUACGUGCCAGCAGCCGCGGUAAUACGUAGGGCGCAAGCGUUGUCCGGAAUUAUUGGGCGUAAAGAGCUCGUAGGCGGUCUGUCACGUCGGGUGUGAAAGCCCGGGGCUUAACCCCGGGUCUGCAUUCGAUACGGGCAGACUAGAGUGUGGUAGGGGAGAUCGGAAUUCCU
rnacentral:rRNA from 1 species